GUGUCAGCAGCCGCGGUAAUACCGGCGGCCCGAGUGGCGGCCACUUUUAUUGGGCCUAAAGCGUUCGUAGCCGGUUUGAUAAGUCCCCCGGGAAAUCUGGUCGCUCAACGAUCAGACUGCUGGGGGAUACUGUCAGGCUAGGGACCGGGAGAGGUCGAGGGUAUUCCCGGAGUAGGGGUGAAAUCCUGUAAUCCCGGGAGGACCACCUGUGGCGAAGGCGCUCGACUAGAACGGGUCCGACGGUGAGGGACGAAGGCCUGGGGAGCGAACCGGAUUAGAUACCCGGGUAGUCCAGGCUGUAAACGAUGCGGGCUGGGUGUCACCGGAGUCACGAGCUCCGGUGGUGCCGGAGGGAAGCCGUUAAGCCCGCCGCCUGGGAAGUACGGUCGCAAGACUGAAACUUAAAUGAAUUGACGGGG
rnacentral:rRNA from 1 species